rnacentral:rRNA from 1 species
AACGAACGCUGGCGGCAUGCCUAACACAUGCAAGUCGAACGAGACCUUCGGGUCUAGUUGCGCACGGGUGCGUAACACGUGGGAACCUGCCCUUAGGUUCGGAAUAACUCCCCGUAGGGGGUGCUCAUACCGGAUAAUGUCUUCGCACCAAAGAUUUAUCGCCUUUGGAUGGGCCCGCGUUGGAUUCGCUAGUUGGUAGGGUACAAGCCUCCCAAGGCGAGGAUCCAUAGCUGGUCUGAGAGGAUGAUAAGCCACACUGGGACUGAGACACGGCCCAGACUGCGACGGGAGGGAGCAGUGGGGAAUAUUGGACGAUGGGCGAAAGCCUGAUCCAGCAAUGCCGGGUGAGUGAGGAAGGCGUUAGGGUUGUAAAGCUCUUUUACCCGGGAUGAUAAUGACAGUACCGGGUGAAGAAGCUCCGGCUAACUCCGUG